AAAGCUUGCAUGCAUCUUGGAUAUCUUUCACGACAAGCUCCCAGUAUGAAGUUUCGAUGUCUAGUCCAGAUUGUACAAGUGCUCUGCAGUUAUAUAGGAAUAUAAAUUCAAUUGCGAAGGAGAAGUCAUUCAGGAUUAGGUGAAAGGGGCUAACAGUAACAAGGAUAGAACAACUGCCACAAAGAGAGGGGCAAUUUACCGCUGGGUUGCUGGUCACCCCACGAACUCCACUCUCGAUCAACGGGAUAAGAUCAGUAACUGGACGGCAUAGAUUAUCGUACCACGGGCUCUGUCCUUCCUUCUCAUAAAGAUCAUGGAGCGUGGUUCUCUUCACACUACUCCCAUUGCCAUCAACUUGAGAGCAUCUCACACUGCCCAAAUAAAUCAACAAGCAAAAAAACGAAUCUUUACGAAGACAAAAAAAUCCCACUCAACACCAACACGAGAGAGGAGAAAUAAUUGAUAUGUAUGCUUACACCAAUGAACCGGCGAUUCUUCGGGCAGCGCGCACACUCAGCUUGGAGGAUGAAAUGGAUUUCUCGAUUCUUUUGCGAGGAUCAACACCACAGCACAUAGGCUGCUGCUGCUGCUGCUGCUGCGAAGAUCCGCGGAAGCUAGGUGCAGAAUUAGCAAAAGCUGAGGCGGAGAGCUUGGAAAUGGAGGCCAUGGCCGAUUGAAUCAGGUUGCAGGUGAAGGAAAUGUAAGCAAAUAAAAUGAAGUGUGUAGGUAGGUUGGUAAUGGUGUGCUGUAUUUAUUGGUGGAGCGAUACAAAUGAAGGUGGAAGAGGGAUCUAUUUAAUUUUGGGGAUUAGGGUUAAUUUCAUUUAAUCAAGUCAUGAGUUGAAGCUAAUAAAAUGGUGGUGGUAAGUAAAGGGCAAAUUUGGAAGUAAGUAUGAUUGUUUGGUGGGGAGGAUGUUGGUAGGUGAUUUAUACUGUAAAGUGUUAAUUUAUUUAGGGGACUUUGUAUUAUUUACUUUAAUGUAACAUAUGCAUAAUAGACCAUAAUGAGUGUUAAAGAAAGUAGAAAAAAAGUAGUACUAUACAUUCGAGAGAUUUGCUGUUCU